UUUUAGCCCCGAUAGUAGCGGCAUCCUUUUCUUUUUUUUCUUUAAAAAAAGAAAAGAUAUAGCGAAUAGCGGGAUUGGCU
rnacentral:sRNA from 1 species